ensembl:lncRNA
UUUAUUCCUGUCAUCAUUGAACCAGUGAACAUGUGUUGAACCACCUACUGAUGAACAUCUCUCUUUAACAUUCCAAAGUCUGAAAGGCUAAAUGGUUUUUCAGACCCUAUGGGAUUUUGAAACUUGCAGAUAAGACAGAACAUUGUGGGCACUCAUCAGCACUGCCUUUUUUCCCCCCUUGUGAGAAAAUGCAAGAGCAAAGUAGUGCAUAUCAAUGCAUAAAGGGCAACUGAAACAUGGCAGCCAUGACUACUCUGAUAAGUCAUAUCUAUUUACACAAGGCUCUAGUUGGCCACAUCAAAGAAGCAGAGGCCACUUCAAAAAUCUUUCUUCAAAGAAAGAGUAUCUUAAAGGCUUCUCUGGUGGCUCAGAUGGUAAAGAAUCUGCCUGCUCUGUGGAAGACCCAGGGGAUCUUCCCAGCCCAGGGAUCGAACCUGCGUCUCUUACAUCUCCUGUAUUGGCAAACAGGUUCUUUACCACUAGCGCUACCUGGGAAGCCCCCAGUAUAAGAAAAUGAAACAUCAAAAGAAAUGGAAGAAUCCGAAUCUUGAACUGCCUAUGUUAUUAUCCUACAAGCAUAUUGACAGUGGUUACAGAUAAAAGAGAAAGCAUGAAGAAACAACUUCAAAAAGUUAUCAUCUCAGGAUACUUGAUAUGCAACUAACUAAACCACUAUCUUAUGUCUGAGGUUCAGAAUAAAUGUCCAGUAAAAUACCAAAUGACUCUCUUAAGCAUUUAUAAUUAUUAUAAGUAGCCAUUAUGGCCAAAGCUCUAAGUUAUGAAUUAUAUGAAAGUUGAAAGCAAGAAUAUAUAGAAUUUCUGGCUUUAGAUAGAAUAACUAUCAAAUGGGUGCUUUUUUAACCCAUGAACUCUGUGAAUGGAUUUAAAUAUGAUAGAAUAAAGUAGAAGUCAUGCAAUGGGAAUGAACAGAUUUUGCUAAACUUACUUUUUUGCCUGGCAAAAGAAAUAUGCUGUUUGGAUCACAUUUCUUGUUCCUACUGAAUGAUGAUCUUAAAUUUUUUCCACAUAUGAAAGGAAUACUUGAAAAUAUAAAAGAACUAAAUCAAUGCAUCAGAUAGUAGGUAAUCCUUUCUGUUUACCUACAUGCUGAUUAUCCUUGCCAAAAAGUGCAUUGAAAGGUGGAAUGUUAACCCUGGGUAUUUUUGCAAAAAUCAAAAAAAAUUAUUUAUUUUUGUUCUUCUGAAUUACACUUAAUGGGUGGAAGAAUACUAGAUUUGAAAAGAAAUCAUUUCCAGUCACUUCAGUGACCCUCAAAAUAGUUAAAGAUAUAACAGAUUUUUCCAAUAUUAGCUUUACUGGGAUCAGAGGUAAAAUGGCAAAACUACAGUUACAUUAAAAUGGCAUCUGAACAUCAGUCUUAUAAUUUUUUUU